rnacentral:rRNA from 2 species
CGAAAGCUUGAUGGAGCGACACAGCGUGCACGAUGAAGGUCUUCGGAUUGUAAAGUGCUGUUAUAGGGAAAGAACACCUGGUUGAGGAAAUGCUUCCAGGCUGACGGUACCCUGUCAGAAAGCGAUGGCUAACUAUGUGCCAGCAGCCGCGGUAAUACAUAGGUCGCAAGCGUUAUCCGGAAUUAUUGGGCGUAAAGCGUUCGUAGGCUGUUUAUUAAGUCUGGAGUCAAAUCCCAGGGCUCAACCCUGGCUCGCUUUGGAUACUGGUAAACUAGAGUUAGAUAGAGGUAAGCGGAAUUCCAUGUGAAGCGGUGAAAUGCGUAGAUAUAUGGAAGAACACCAAAGGCGAAGGCAGCUUACUGGGUCUAUACUGACGCUGAGGGACGAAAGCGUGGGGAGCAAACAGGAUUAGAUACCCUGGUAGUCCACGCCGUAAACGAUGAUCAUUAGUCGGUGGAGAGUUCACUGACGCAGCUAACGCAUUAAAUGAUCCGCCUGAGUAGUAUGCUCGCAAGAGUGAAACUUAAAGGAAUUGACGGGGACCCGCACAAGCGGUGGAGCAUGUGGUUUAAUUUGAAGAUACGCGGAGAACCUUACCCACUCUUGACAUCCUUCGCAAUGCUAUAGAGA